GGAUGAAGAACGUAGCGAAAUGCGAUACGUAAUGUGAAUUGCAGAAUUCAGUGAAUCAUCGAAUCUUUGAACGCAUAUUGCGCUCUCUGGUAUUCCGGAGAGCAUGCUUGUUUGAGUAUCAGUAAACACCUCAACUUCCAUAUCUUUUUUUCAAAUGGGAGUUGGACUUGAGUGAUCCCAACGCUUUUCCUCACCGAAAAGUGGCGGGUUACUUGAAAUGCAGGUGCAGCUGGACUUUUCUCUGAGCUAUAAGCAUAUCUAUUUAGUCUGCCUAAAAAACAGAUUAUUACCUUUGCUGCAGCUAACAUAAAGGAGAUUAGUUCUUGUGCUGACUGAUGCAGGAUUCACAAAGACAGCUUCGGCCGACUUUGUAAACUCGAUCUCAAAUCAAGUAAGACUACCCGCUGAACUUAAGCAUAUCAAUAAGCGGAGGA
rnacentral:misc_RNA from 1 species